AGGUCUGUGAAGGCUUUCUCCACAUUAAUGGCAUCUCGGGCUGACGUUUCAAUGUACUUCAUGCCGUAUGCAGCAGCCAGUUUCUCGGCCUCGUGGCGAGUCACUUGCCUCUGUGUAUCCAGGUCACACUUGUGACCCACCAGAACAAAUACAAUUUGGUAGGGCUGAACGUGUACUUUGGUCUCUUCUAACCACUCAUGGACAUUCUGGAAGGACCUGCGGUUGGUAAUGUCAAAUAAGAGAAGACCACCUACUGAGUUCCUGUAGUAGGCGCGAGUGAUGGAUCUAAAACACAAGAAAGAAGUAAAGAGUAAAGGCUGUGCCCAAACUUCUGCAUGUCAAUGAACUCAGUAUAUUCAAGUGUUCCUGG
rnacentral:lncRNA from 1 species